rnacentral:rRNA from 1 species
GACAGAGGGUGCAAACGUUGUUCGGAAUUACUGGCGUAAAGCGCGUGUAGGCGGCCCUGCAAGUCGGAUGUGAAAUCCCACGGCUCAACCGUGGAAGUGCAUUCGAAACUGCAGGGCUAGAGUCCUGGAGAGGAAGGUGGAAUGCUUGGUGUAGAGGUGAAAUUCGUAGAUAUCAAGCGGAACACCGGUGGCGAAGGCGGCCUUCUGGGACAGUGACUGACGCUGAGACGCGAAAGCG